GGUCUUGCCGACGCCCCGCGAGCCGAUGAUGAUCACCUGCAGCUUGAAAUCGGCAGGGCGCGGCGGCUGUUUCCUGCGGCGGGCCUGAGGGCCCGAGAGCGCGGGGGAGACCCCGGCGGAGCCCAGUCCCCCGCCGCCAAGUCCCGGCCCCCGCCGCUGCAGCCCAGAGCCCGGCUCCAUCCACUCAUGCGGCUCGCGCGCCCCACUAUCCGCCACCUCGAUCAGCGCCCAGCCUAGGCCCGGCUGCCCUCCCCCGCUUCCACUACGUCUUGUCCCGGCCUGAGAAGGGUAAGCGGGGCUCCAGUCAGUGUAAGCGGCCACCCGGAUGACGAGUAAGAGGCUGUGAGCCAGAGACGCCCUGAGUCUGAUGGCGAGAAGCAGCGCCCUCUAUGGGACAGGAGGACUUGGCGCAGUCACCUUGAGGUGAAAAGGCGGGAGGACGGCUGUGGAGCGCCCCCGGCGGUCGAAGAAAACCCUCUGACCAUACAUCCCGAUCGCGAGUUAUCACAACAACGAAGAGUCGUCGCCAGCCUGUUACAUCAGGCAUUUCUUAGUGCGUGGGAAGGAACGGAGAAUCCUAUUUUGAAAAAAAGAAAAAUAUAUCCCACAACAUGCCUGCUACCUCUCUUUCUUUUUUUGACUACAACUUUCCCUCUCUGGAAUGUGUAAAAUAAGGUUGGCUGGCUCUACGUAUAGUUUGGAUGUUGUGAAAGGGCAGCAAAUUGUUAGUUUGUCUUUACAGGGAAGGGAAAGGUAAGUGUGGGAUUUUCCGUUUUAGAGCCAAAAUAACUUGACCAGCCUUGGAUAUUGUGCAAUUUGACUUGCGGUGGGCGCGUGCGCCAUUUGCUGCUCCGUCCCAGGCAUCAUAGGACGCUUCCAGACGGCGCUAUUUUCCGAUCUAUCUGUCUUUAGAAAAUUAUCUUCUUGCUGAGUUAACAUCACAAUAAUAACUUAUUUCUGAGCCUAUGGGAAGCAUAGAAUUAGCUGAUGUAUCAACAAAACUAUGGAAUUAGCUGAUGUAUCAACAAAACUGCUUGUUGCAGCAUUCCUAGCUUGCUUAUCAGAUGGCCUGCACCCAGUACAGCAACAACAGGACUUAUACAGCACUUAUUUGGGAAAGAGUGCCAUCGUCUCCUCACUGAAAAACAUCAAUUAUUUUCUGCAUACUUUUGGACAGGGGAAGAGCUUCUCUGUAAGAGGGUCCAAAUAUGAUUUUCAGACAAGACUGACUCCAUACCUUUUAUUUAGAAAUUAAGCCAUGCCAAAUGAC